CAGUCGCCGCGGGAAUACGUAGGGUGCGAGCGUUAAUCGGAAUUACUGGGCGUAAGGCGUGCGCAGGCGGUUGUGUAAGACAGGUGUGAAAUCCCCGGGCUCAACCUGGGAACUGCAUUUGAGACUGUAUGGCUAGAGUGUGUCAGAGGGGGGUAUAAUUCCACGUGUAGCAGUGAAAUGCGUAGAUAUGUGGAGGAAUACCGAUGGCGAAGGCAGCCCCCUGGGAUAACACUGACGCUCAUGCACGAAAGCGUGGGGAGCAAACAGGAUUAGAUACCCGCGUAGUCCCUGUCUCUUAUAC
rnacentral:rRNA from 1 species